CUGCACACACACCAAUUGAUUGGUGAGUACCUUUAGUUGAUAGAUUUCUUGCAGAUUCCCAGCUUUCUUGUUGGUAAAAUGGACCAAUGAGAAAUGAUGAUUGUCACAUUAUUGUGUAUGUGCGAUGCUUAGCAUAGUGCAAAAUUCAGACAGGCAUAAACUAGUUAAUUCAUAGGCCCUCCCACCUUCUCCCCAAUGACUGUAUUCUCUCCCCAUCCCUACACCAUCUCAUCUUUCCCAUCAUUCUUUUCUACUUGCAAAUAUUUGGUCCUCUGAUCCAAAAGUGCCUCAGUGAUAGAUGAUGUCCUCCCUGGCUGGCUCAGGGAGUGGAUACCACGGAGAUAACGGUCUGUGAACCAGGAGGUGAAAUACAGUCUGAGCUCUGUGGCACCAAGUGACCCAACAACCCAAGGCCACUCUGUGUGGUGCAGACUAGAGACACAUAAGGGGCCUGAGUCCAGGAGGUGGUUAGCAUGAAGAGCGAGUGUGAACGAGCCACAGGCAUCCUUGGCUAUAAGAAGGCUGUCACCAUGGACACUGAGGAGUGGCACCUCCUGCUUGGAGCUUCUCGUGAAGCUGAACAAAUCUAGCCUGGCUUCACGCGUGCUCUAUGAAGUACCAAGAAUGAAAUCAGGCCAGAACAUUUUUAAAGAAGUCGGAUUUUUCAAGGACUAUCUUGGAUUUCCUUUUCUUUGUAUGUUUAAACAACCGUAGAUGUUGAGAAAUCCAAAGGACCUACUCAUAACACCACUCUGCAAAGUUGCCAGCUGCCUACAACUCUGAAGAUUUGUCCUAUGAUCAAGUACAAUCUGGACUUGGUCUUCUGUUCUAGACAUGGUGUUCAGGGAAAUUCCUUCCACAGUGUUCAUUGUAUUGAAGGGAAUAAUACAGCAAUAUGUGAUUGAUUGCUACGGCUGCUCUCACCAAGUUGCCCUGCAUUGCAUCAGCUGCCAGCAUAGGACAGGGCCAAAUAAAAAGCUUAGUAAGGCCAAUUGUAAGAAUAGUGACGUGGGCUUAUUUGAAGAUCAAAACUACAGCAUCCUGUAAAUCUGUAAUUGCUCUUGAAAUUAUCUCCUAAGAUACAAGUUUUCUAAGAGUAUCUUUUAUGAUUUUCUUCUGCCCUUUGAGUCCAACAAAACCUGUGUGUUAGUAAAGAACACAUUCCUUGCUAAUGCUAAGAACUGUUGCCAGGAGAAAGCCAUAGUCAACAUCUCUAGAAGACUUAUUGGAUUACAGAAUAGGGCUCACUGGCACCCGUGUGAAAGUCUUGGCUUUGACAGUGUGGGUGGCGUUAUUUUAACCACAGAACACCCUGCACUGUGAUUCUUAUUGUAAACCAAAGGUCUGUGGCAUCAAACUUCAGUACGGUCUCUAUUUGGGAUGUGAGCCUGCCAAAUGUGCACAUGGCAAAUGUGUUUUAUUCAAACAGCUCUGGGGGGAAAGAGAGCUCACAUUUGGAUAGUGCGCAUCUGUUUUCCCAUCUGGUUCUCAUAACAACUGUGUGCAGUGACUGAGUCAGAGUUUAUCAUUGGCUUGUUUGAAGGUGGAGAAAUGGAGAGUCAGUAAGUGAAAGGAAUUUACCAGAAUUGUAAGGCAAGUAGGAAGCAGCUAAGAUCAAAACUCGCAGCUUUCAGCCCAGACUCUCAUGGUAGUACCAGUGUGGUAAUUUCUUCACAAUGAAAACAGACAUUAUAGUUAAGGGUUCAGUUUGAAAGAUCAAAAUAGACCCCAACCCCCCCCAAGCCACAGUGAAAGCCAACAUUUCACUGCUGGAGCUAGAUUUGUUAAUUUCUCUCACCAGCCAGAGGGGUCUGGGUGGGUUUCCUGUAGCAGGGAUGUGUCCCCUCCUGUGGAGUGGUCCUCAAAUCCAAUCAGAAGGCAGUUAGUGACCUUUCCCCCAACCCCGCCUGCAAAGCACUCAUACCACCAAUUGCACGGUAGGCAUAUCUUGCUGGUAGGUUAAUGCUAUUGCACAAAAGCUUCAAAGCUGAGUAAGACUGUGAAGGUUCUCCUCCAGCAUUCUGCACAGCACCUUCUGGUUCUAUGGACAAUGAUCGCCACGGAGGAUGCUUAACAGCUCAGCUCCACCCUAAUUUCUGUGU
rnacentral:lncRNA from 1 species